rnacentral:misc_RNA from 1 species
UGCACUGUGGAUCACGGUCUCGAAAUAGUGUGACAGUCCCCUGUGACACGAACAGCAACGUUCUCUUCGCGGUAAAUCUGUUUUCGAACGGCCUAACGUGCGUCACUUUUCUCUACUGUUCUCGUGAAUGCUCUGUAUUGUUUGUUCUUUCCUUGGUUUUCUCGAAGAGAAAAAAUUAAUAUUAUCAAUCGAGAAUAGCGCGUGGCAAGCAACAAGAUACUGACGUCGUCACGGGGCAAACUGUUGCGAAGAACAACCACGAUUGCGGCCGUAACACGACUCGACUCGGCUCCGCUCGACGACGCGACUGAGUGGUACGCACGAGGUCUCCGUCAUGAGCGCACACACCGACUUCCACCGCCUCUUCCUCCACCUCCUCGUCGCUGCCGUCGCUCGUCUCGUCCCGUCCGUCUCGUCUCGGCGCGCCGAUACACCGACUGCAGCAUACUAAACACACAAGGGAGAUUGUUAAACAUGGCCGUCGCCGCCGCGCCAUUAUCUUUCACGUUCGCCGUCAGAGGCGCCACUCACACGUGCUCAUAUACUACAGACGCACUAUGAUCGCUGUUUCAAAAUUUUACUAUCACCAUUUUCUCUUUUUUUACAUUUCUACUAUGGAUAUGUUAGUUGUAGAGCAGGAAUAGAAUAUCCAAAUUGUAUAAGAUCCAUUUGAAAAGGUAUCCGUGAAAUGAAAUAAAAAAUUCUUCCAAGAUACUUCGUUCCAACUAAUCAAGAAGUUAUAGAAACAUCCACAUUAAAAGUAAAAGGCUCGAGCAAAUAUCUAAUAUACAUAUUCAUUAAAAACAAUUUCGGUAAAGAAAUGUUUGAUUAACGAAUUAAUGUACCAAAUAAACAAUUCUCGAAGCAUCAUUGUAUCGAAAAAAUUUUAUACGACUAUCAUCUCCUAUUAUAAACUAACCAACAAUUUCACGUUUUCAUAGAAUAACAAAUUACGAUAAUGAUCAUUACAUCUCGG